GCAUUGGUGGUUCAGAGGUAGAAUUCUCGCCUGCCACGCGGGAGACCCUGGUUCGAUUCCCGGCCAAUGCA
rfam:Danio rerio chromosome 4, GRCz11 reference primary assembly.